ensembl:lncRNA
GAGGGAUGUGUCAAAUGAUUGCUGAUUUUUGUAACAUUCCCUGGACAGGGCGACAGAUCCACAGAGCACAGGAGGAACGGCUGCUUCAUGCGCCAUCUGCUGACUUGUAGGUGCAGGCUGUCUCCGAAGACAUGGUAGAAGCUUGAUAGGAACUCGUACUUCUCUUUCGGAUCUCUCCAGCUUUAUUGAAAUCUUCUGUGCAGGUCCCAGCCACUCCAUGUCUCCAUGGCAGAUCAGAUGCGGGUGGCUGUCUGCGAGGAGAGUAUAGAACAUGGAGCAGAUUGUCUUCUUAGGUGCACACGGGCUGACACUCUGCAGAUGCAAACGUGCCGUUGAAACAAAGCAAGAGUGCUGUGUGGCUCCCAGAGCCUUGCCUGGGCCUGCGUUUCCUCCUCUUCCACUCAAGACUCACGUUAGCAGGGUUACAGACAACAUAGACAAACUCCGGGGAGAAUUUAUUGGAUGAAUAGUCAAAGCCUGAGAUCUAGGAGCUGGAGCAGUGAGCAGGUUGAUGCUACAAACUGGAUCCCGGGGCUCCCGAAGCCGAGUCUAAGGACCUUUCCUCUGCAGCUGACGCCUUCACGCCUGGUCUUUGGUGACUUGUCAUCAGCCCUCAGGAAGACAGGGCUGUGCCCUACAGCACGGACACCGAUAUCAUCAUUUCUCUGUAUCAGGCACUUCUCAGGCAAAGGGAAUGUUGGGAGAGGAAUGCAGUUUUUAAAGUUUUUUUUUAAAUUGAUAUAUUUUAUUUGAACUGUUAUAUAGUAUAGAAACAUUUUGUAGAACAGCAAAUGUUAUUAAUUUAGAAAGCGGUUUACCAUAAAAGAGAGACAUGGAAAAUAUUCAUGUGCUGGGCUGGAGGAGUGCUUGGCUGGUAUGUGUGAGGUCCUGGGUUCAAUCCCGAGGAAACCUCCUCCCCACAAAGGAAAAAAAAAAGCAGAAAAUGUUACAUGAUGACAUUUCAGAAUUCACUGCAAGUUUUUGAAGGUUCUGUGGAGGAUGAUUGACAUAAACUCCACAUAUUUGAAGGACAUGGUUUGGUAUAUUUUGGCACAUAUUGUACACAUCUGGAAAACUGCCACCUUGAUGAAGAUAAUGAGUUUACCUCACCCCUGGAUGUCUCCUUGUGCCUUUGCCUUUGUAUUCCUUCCCUGGCCUUGCUGUUCCUAAGCGCCUACUGUUUAUGUCCCCUGGAUUGGCUUGCAUUCUUUAGAGUAAAU